rnacentral:piRNA from 1 species
UAAUUUAGCGUAAAUGGGUUC